rnacentral:rRNA from 1 species
AUUGAACGCUGGCGGCAUGCUUUACACAUGCAAGUCGAACGGUAACAGGCCGCAAGGUGCUGACGAGUGGCGAACGGGUGAGUAAUGCAUCGGAACGUGCCCAGUCGUGGGGGAUAACGCAGCGAAAGCUGUGCUAAUACCGCAUACGAUCUAUGGAUGAAAGCGGGGGACCGUAAGGCCUCGCGCGAUUGGAGCGGCCGAUGUCAGAUUAGGUAGUUGGUGGGGUAAAGGCUCACCAAGCCAACGAUCUGUAGCUGGUCUGAGAGGACGACCAGCCACACUGGGACUGAGACACGGCCCAGACUCCUACGGGAGGCAGCAGUGGGGAAUUUUGGACAAUGGGCGAAAGCCUGAUCCAGCCAUUCCGCGUGCAGGAUGAAGGCCCUCGGGUUGUAAACUGCUUUUGUACAGAACGAAAAGGUUUCUACUAAUACUAGGAGCUCAUGACGGUACUGUAAGAAUAAGCACCGGCUAACUACGUGCCAGCCGCCGCGGUAA